CGUGCAUACAGACUAUCUACCAUGUGCAAGCGCAUGGAAUGGUCCGGCGUCAUAUGUAAAAGCACCCGGACAUUGUAUUGAAAAUUUCCGAGAUCAGUUUUCCAUGAUGCAUGCCAACCAGUUUAUUUGGAUGCCUUAUCUCCAACGGCAGUUGCCGGAAAGUUGUGAUGCCGGUCGUCCUGUAUGGAUGUCGAUAACAACGCUUAUUUGCUGGAAUCUGGCUGAGCCACACCUGCCACACCGAGUGUUGCGCCAAUUUGGGAUUGUCCAACCGUAUAUCCCGCAACUCCCCCGGUUCCACGGUACUGAUUUUGCGAAACAGGAUCGUCGUGGAAAAGCUGGUCGAAAU